UUGAACGCUGGCGGCAUGCUUUACACAUGCAAGUCGAACGGCAGCACGGGUGCUUGCACCUGGUGGCGAGUGGCGGACGGGUGAGUAAUACAUCGGAACGUGUCCAGAAGAGGGGGAUAACGCAUCGAAAGAUGUGCUAAUACCGCAUAUGCUCUGAGGAGGAAAGUAGGGGAUCGAAAGACCUUACGCUUUUGGAGCGGCCGAUGUCUGAUUAGCUAGUUGGUGGGGUAAGGGCCUACCAAGGCGACGAUCAGUAGUUGGUCUGAGAGGACGACCAGCCACACUGGGACUGAGACACGGCCCAGACUCCUACGGGAGGCAGCAGUGGGGAAUUUUGGACAAUGGGCGCAAGCCUGAUCCAGUAAUGCCGCGUGAGUGAAGAAGGCCUUCGGGUUGUAAAGCUCUUUCAGUCGAGAAGAAAAGGCUGCAGUGAAUAACUGUAGUUUAUGACGGUAUCGACAGAAGAAGCACCGGCUAACUACGUG
rnacentral:rRNA from 1 species